rnacentral:rRNA from 1 species
UACGGAAGGGGCAAGCGUUGUUCGGAAUCAUUGGGCGUAAAGGGAGCGUAGGUGGUUUUGUGAGUCUACCGUGAAAGCGCGCGGCUUAACCGCGUUCCGUCGGUAGAAACUGCAGAACUUGAGACUGGGAGGGGCUGGUGGAAUUCCCUGUGUAGCGGUGAAAUGCGUAGAGAUGGGGGAGAACACUCGUGGCGAAGGCGGCCAGCUAGACCAGUUCUGACACUGGGGCGCGACAGCGUGGGGAGCAAACAGG